UGAGAGCAGAGUGUUGCUAAACUUACCAUGUGAUGGAUAUUUCUCCGUUUUGAUAUUGCACAGAAUGAAGAACAUAGCAGACAGAUGAAGUAGGCCUGGUGGUGCUCUGAGCAGAACAAAUCCUAAGGCCAGGUUAGACUAGCUUUGCACUGUUUCCCUCGUGUCUAGAUUUCUGAAGGAUGAGUCUUUUGAUUUGUUUCUAACCUGCUUAAAAGAGAUGGGGAGGCGGAGGAAGCAAGGAGCCGAGGUGCAGCCGGAUGCCUCCCAGGAUGAAUAAUGGCAACAAGAAACAGAGUUCUUAAAGCCCAGAUGAUAAGGGCCUCAGUCUGGGUGUGAAUGAACUUGGCCUGACUUCUUUGCUGCCGUCAUAUGAACCGGAAGGAGACAGCUUAGAUAGAGCAAGCCUGCUCCUUCCAGAAGCACGAGGGUCCUGUGGCGGUUUUUGCUUCAAACACCGCAGAACACAGAGCAAACCCCAUGACGCCGUCCUUCAACUAAACAGCCCAAAGCAGCAAACUAGAGGUUUCCAUUUUUAGUUUGCAAGGGGAACAACUGAGCUUUCAUGAGUUGGAAUUUGCUAACGUAAAUUGAGCCUUUGUAAGAGGGCUGAAAUUGACCCUGGAGACGGAAAGCACAGGAAAUAUUUGCUGUGGUCGGUGGGAGAGGACGCUCCGCAGACAAAGCCGCCUGCUUCUCCCGUCAGGCCUGCCUCCUCUCUAGGCAAAUAUUGGAGGGAUGACUUUUUUAUUUGCAGAGAGGAUUUGGCUAAUUUUGUUUUAUUUGUGUACCUUACAUUCAUGGAGCACUCUGCACAGUCUGUUGGAUAAUCUCUAAUUAUUCCUUUCCUCUUCACACCUGUGAGGCCGAUGCUCAGCAUAUUUCAGAGGAAGCUGGCACCAGGGAUGAGGGAAUCUGCCCAAGCAUGAGUCACCUGGAAUAUUAAACCAGAACCAACACACAAAUGAUCUGUGCAAAGAGGUAGCAGAACAAAUCCUAAGGCCAGGUUAGACUAGCUUUGCACUGUUUCCCUCGUGUCUAGAUUUCUGAAGGAUGAGUCUUUUGAUUUGUUUCUAACCUGCUUAAAAGAGAUGGGGAGGCGGAGGAAGCAAGGAGCCGAGGUGCAGCCGGAUGCCUCCCAGGAUGAAUAAUGGCAACAAGAAACAGAGUUCUUAAAGCCCAGAUGAUAAGGGCCUCAGUCUGGGUGUGAAUGAACUUGGCCUGACUUCUUUGCUGCCGUCAUAUGAACCGGAAGGAGACAGCUUAGAUAGAGCAAGCC
rnacentral:lncRNA from 1 species